rnacentral:rRNA from 1 species
CCUACGGGAGGCUGCAGUGAGGAAUAUUGGUCAAUGGACGAGAGUCUGAACCAGCCAAGUAGCGUGAAGGAUGACUGCCCUAUGGGUUGUAAACUUUUUUUAUAUGGGAAUAAAAUGUUCCACGUGUGGGAUUUUGUAUGUACCAUAUGAAUAAGGAUCGGCUAACUCCGUGCCAGCAGCCGCGGUAAUACGGAGGAUCCGAGCGUUAUCCGGAUUUAUUGGGUUUAAAGGGAGCGUAGGUGGAUUGUUAAGUCAGUUGUGAAAGUUUGCGGCUCAACCGUAAAAUUGCAGUUGAAACUGGCAGUCUAGAGUACAGUAGAGGAGGGCGGAAUUCGUGGUGUAGCGGUGAAAUGCUUAGAUAUCACGAAGAAUUCCGAUUGCGAAGGCAGCUCACUGGACUGCAACUGACACUGAGGCGCGAAAGUGUGGGUAUCAAACAGGAUUAGAUACCCCAGUAGUC